AGACUAUACAUGCUCGCAUCUAGUUUGCUAUUUCAAACGGGAAUGUGUACGUACGUGUGUGUACAGGUACAUUCAGCACUCAAGGCAAUGCGUAGGACUACAAUGCAUUGCAUUGCACGAUGUGUAUGUAAUGUAUUUGAAUUCAGAGUGAAAAAGCCGUUGCAAGAAGUAUCCUCCUCCUGAAUACUCCAGUUUUCUCCUGCAAAUUUACAGUAUGGGCAUCUUUUUUUAACAUCUUUCGUCAAAGAAGUGGAUUCAAAGCACAUUGUGGCCUCAGUAUAUUGAUGUGAAACCAUGCAGAAAAUGCUACUUUCUCUCAACCUUGUGGAUGUUCCCUACUUCCCUAAGGAUCAGCAGCCUCUUGAAACAGGUGAAGCCAUUAUCGAAUUCCUUGCGUCUAUGUUCCUUGGAUCUGAAAACAGUGCAUAAUGCAGGAGAUUCCACCCAAAAGCUAACCCACAAGUCCAAGCUGAAGUGGAAUAUUUCGCAAAAUUUGAUCUACACUCACCCGAUAGCUUUACUGCUAGAGAAAGGUUAUUUUUUCACUUCAUUAUACUUUAUAGAGAGAGAUUGGGGGAGGGGGAGGGGGAGGGGGAGGGGUGAGGUGUAGCCACAAACCUGAAUGGAUAAGCUGUAGAACUGAAAUUUCCAGUCAUGUUACUUGCAAUUUUAAUGAAUUACAGGAUUUACGAACUGACAUAAUAACGAUUUGGGUAAAAGUCUAAAAGAUUCCAGUAUUUUGAGGAUAUUUGUAAUUACUAUUCAUAAAGUUGACCUGUUUCAUAAUGUCUCAUGCUCACCCCCCUCCCCCCACCCCAUCCACUUCAUAUCAGUUCUUAAAACAUGUUGCAAAUUAUAUAUACAUUGUAAGUUGGUAAUAGAGAAAAAUUGAGUGAGGUAAAUGCAAUACAAAUCGAAUCCAUUAUUAAGCAAUUAAGACUUGUUCAGGUACGGCACGUGAACCUCCAACAAAUUUCAAAAAUGAUGCAGUUUGGUUUUAUGUGUAAAGUGAAUG
rnacentral:lncRNA from 1 species